rnacentral:rRNA from 1 species
GUAUGGUGCAAGCGUUAUCCGGAUUUACUGGGUGUAAAGGGAGCGUAGACGGAGUGGCAAGUCUGAUGUGAAAACCCGGGGCUCAACCCCGGGACUGCAUUGGAAACUGUCAAUCUAGAGUACCGGAGAGGUAAGCGGAAUUCCUAGUGUAGCGGAGAAAUGCGUAGAUAUUAGGAGGAACACCAGUGGCGAAGGCGGCUUACUGGACGGUAACUGACGUUGAGGCUCGAAAGCGUGGGGAGCAAACAGGAUUAGAUACCCUGGUAGUCCACGCCGUAAACGAUGACUACUAGGUGUCGGGCAGCAAAGCUGUUCGGUGCCGCAGCAAACGCAAUAAGUAGUCCACCUGGGGAGUACGUUCGCAAGAAUG